rnacentral:snRNA from 1 species
UCUCUGUUUUUGUGAUAGUUUUGA